UGCGAACUCACCCAACCACUUUUCGUGUUCGGGGAUGGCUCGGAGUGGUCCGGCAAUGGGGAAUGGCGGGUGGUGGCUCCCUGUACUUGUUCGGCAAGCAUUAGAACACAAGAUAAAGCGAGGGAAAACGAAGGGAAGGGUUCGGUCGCUUGGCAAGGGCUCGAACUCCCCGACGGCGGCCGUGUCCAAACUCGGCGAGAUCCUGCUCUCGGUAUCUAAGGCGACUAGGGUCUCAAUCGUCGCGGCAAGAAGGAAACGGGGCGUAGAGUGAUAUCGCAGAGCUUAAAAGGGCAACUUGGCUCACCCCACGUGACAAAUCCCGCAAGAAUCGGGAUCAUGUGGAUUUGGUUACCGUGAUGGAGUCCGGCUUGAGCACGACACAAGGAAGAAGACGGAAGGGGAAGGGGAACGCUGACAGGUGGGGAUGGUGCGGCAGAGAGAGGAGAGGGGGGGAGCACGCUGAUCAGGGUGCGGGCCAGCUUGGGCCAGAAGCAGGCCAUGCGAGGUGGGAGGUGGAGUGGGCCUUCGGGCCAGAAAGCAGAGGGGGAAAAAGUUUUUCUCUUUUUUUAUUUUCUUUUGUUUGUUUUCUUUUCUUUUAUUUCCAAAACAUAUUUCAAGACAAUUUGAAAACCAUUUUCAAAUCGGUUUGAAAUGAUUUUGAACUUGGAUAAAAUUCACACAAUACAAUGAAAAUAAAUGCUCCAAAAUGAAUGCGCAAACAAGUUGCUAAAUCUUAUGAUAAAUUUUAUUCAAAUGAAAAAAUAUUAUUUCUCUAUGUUUCAUGAGCACAAAAAUACAAAAUUAAAUCAUUUUAUCUCUAUUUCCUAGAAAACAAUUUAUAGGGUGUUACAGUUUCUCACUUCUCUCAUUUCAGAUUUUGUGGCUAGCAUGACUAAAUGCUCUCCCUUUCGUUUCUUUUCCUCUAUGAAAUUUGGCUUGUGUCACUCACUCACCGCAUUGUGGAUGGCACUCAAUUUCUUUUGUAAGUGUUCAGCCAUGAUUUGUUAGGGUGUCAUAGGCUUGGAAACAAACUUAUUCCCUUUUAGAUCGUUAGUGAACUGAUUUGUUCUCCCAUAAUGUUGGCU
rnacentral:lncRNA from 1 species